CAACAGGGAUUGCCUCAGUAACGGCGAGUGAAGCGGCAACAGCUCAAAUUUGAAAUCUGGCCCCGUCGGGGUCCGAGUUGUAAUUUGUAGAGAGUGUUUCGGGUGAGACCACGGUCUAAGUCUAUUGGAACAUGGCGUCAUAGAGGGUGAGAAUCCCGUAUGUGACUGUGGCUCGAGCCCAUGUGAAGCCUCUUCGACGAGUCGAGUUGUUUGGGAAUGCAGCUCAAAAUGGGUGGUAAAUUUCAUCUAAAGCUAAAUACUGGCUGGAGACCGAUAGCGCACAAGUAGAGUGAUCGAAAGAUGAAAAGCACUUUGGAAAGAGAGUCAAAAAGUACGUGAAAUUGUUGAAAGGGAAGCGCUUGCAACCAGACCUGUCCGUAGGUGAUCAGCCGCUGUUCUCAGCGGUGCACUCGCUCUGCGAUCAGGCCAGCAUCGGUUUCGGCGGUCGGAUAAAGGCCUUGGGAAUGUAGCUUCUUUCGGGGAGUCUUAUAGCCCUCGGUGCAAUGCGGCCAGCCGGGACCGAGGACCGCGCUUCGGCUAGGAUGCUGGCGUAAUGGUUGUAAGCGACCCGUCUUGAAACACGGACCAAGGAGUCUACCAUCUAUGCGAGUGUUUGGGUGUUAAACCCAUGCGCGGAAUGAAAGUGAACGGAGGUGAGAACCCUUUAGGGCGCAUCAUCGACCGAUCCAGAUGUCUUCGGAUGGAUUUGAGUAUGAGCAUAGCUGGUGGGACCCGAAAGAUGGUGAACUAUGCCUGAAUAGGGUGAAGCCAGAGGAAACUCUGGUGGAGGCUCGCAGCGGUUCUGACGUGCAAAUCGAUCGUCAAAUUUGGGCAUAGGGGUAAGACUUCCGAUUAUAAAAGA
rnacentral:rRNA from 1 species